rnacentral:rRNA from 1 species
UCCUACGGGGGGCAGCAGUGGGGAAUAUUGCACAAUGGGGGGAACCCUGAUGCAGCAAUGCCGCGUGGGUGAAGAAGCACUCCGGUGCGUAAAGCCCUGUCAGCAGGGAAGAAAAUGACAGUACCUGGACAAGAAGCCCCGGCUAACUACGUGCCAGCAGCCGCGGUAAUACGUAGGGAGCAAGCGUUAUCCGGAUUUACUGGGUGUAAAGGGCGUGUAGGCGGGCAUGCAAGCCAGAAGUGAAAUCUGGGGGCUUAACCCCCAAACUGCUUUUGGAACUGCGUGUCUUGAGUGAUGGAGAGGCG